UUAGGUAUGGGGUUUAACAGUGUCGAGUUGGAGUGGUGAAGAGGGAUGCUGAAGUCGAGUGACAGAGAUGUGACGUGUUUGAUUGGAUAAUAGAAUGAUUGUCAAUAAUGAAUUAGUGUAACAGGUAUGAAAAUUAUAAUUCGCUUUAAGUAUAGAAUUACACAAAAUAUGUGUUUUAUCUAAUGUGUUAGUAAGUAUACCUGAGGUGUUUGUUAGUGUGUGUCUUCUCCUUUAAAUGUCUAAGGGAGCUCACGCUGUUUAAUUUCCUGUUUUGCGCCCGCCUCUUCCCUUUCUGCACUGACUAUGCAUGGGAGAGAAAAGCUGUAAGGGCGAAGACACACUGUAAAAGCUGUGCUUUUUGAUUUAUUCUCAGUGAGUAAAGAGCCGUCACAACUGCA